rnacentral:lncRNA from 1 species
ACCUGGCAAGACAAGUUUCAAACAGGUCUGUUCAAUUUUUGAAGGGUCACCUCAAAAGACUUGUCAGAAGCAUACAAAUCCUCAUAUCUAUAUAUAUUAUCAUAUAAUAAUUUUUUUGCAGAUAUGACUGUAGCCUACAGUAUUUAAGGCCUACUUCAAAAAAUGUUUUGUUUGUUUGUUUUCGAUCUACUGAUAACUAUAAAAACAGAGAUAUAGAAGACCGAAAGCUUAAAAAGACAGGUGGUGGUCCACGAGAAAAAAAUAUUAAAAGCUUCAGAAGAAACUGCCUUAACAGCAUCACUGAUGAGGGCCGAGUUAGCAGUGGCUGGUGAUUUUUACGAGACCUUCCGCAGUCACCCAGUAGAUGAAGAAAUAAUUCCUUAUAGAAUGUGCAGAUAGGUGAGAAUAUUUAUUGAUUUAUACAGUUGUAUGCAUUCUCAUUGAUACCAUUGCUCAAUCGCCUUUGGCUGUGUAAAAAUCAAACGGCAGCAGUGACCUACCUUAUACUGACUUUUUGCAGUUUUGCCUGUUCCAACCCCAGGGCCAUCAACUGUGCUCACCAGUCAUUGUUCCUGCCUCGACAGUGAAUGCUCCUACCUCACCAGUGAAUGCUCCUGCCUCGCCAGUCAUUGUUGCUUCACCAGUCAUUGUUCCUGCCUCACCAGUCCUUGCUCCUGCCUCACCAACACUGGAGCAGGUUCAGAAAUAUAAAAACAGAGAUAUAAAAGACCGAAAACUUGAGGGCCGAGUUAGCAGUGGCUGAUGAUUUUUACGAGACUUUCCGCAAUCACCCAGUAGAUGAAGAAAUAAUUCCUUGUGGAAUGUGCAGUAG